rnacentral:rRNA from 1 species
UACAGAGGUGGCAAGCGUUGUUCGGAAUUACUGGGCGUAAAGGGCGCGUAGGCGGUCCUCUAAGUCUUGUGUGAAAUCCCUCGGCUCAACCUCGGAACUGCCUUUGAUACAGCACGUCUCGAGUCCGGAAGAGGUGGGUGGAAUUCCUAGUGUAGAGGUGAAAUUCGUAGAUAUUAGGAAGAACACCGGUGGCGAAGGCGGCCCACUGGUCCGGUACUGACGCUGAGGUGCGAAAGCGUGGGGAGCAAACAGG